UCCUACGGGAGGCAGCAGUGGGGAAUAUUGGGCAAUGGGCGCAAGCCUGACCCAGCAACGCCGCGUGAAGGAAGAAGGCCCUCGGGUUGUAAACUUCUUUUAUUCGGGACGAAACAAAUGACGGUACCGAAUGAAUAAGCCACGGCUAACUACGUGCCAGCAGCCGCGGUAAUACGUAGGUGGCAAGCGUUAUCCGGCUUUACUGGGUGUAAAGGGCGUGUAGGCGGGGAAGCAAGUCAGAUGUGACAACCACGGUCUCAACCUGUGGCCUGCAUUUGAAACUGUUUUUCUUGAGUACUGGAGAG
rnacentral:rRNA from 1 species